AUGAGCGAGGUGGAGAUGAUAGGCGAGGAGCAACAAGAGGUUAUAGAUGAUGGUUCGGAGGACGAGGAGGAGGCGCUCCCUCUCCAUUCGGAGCCGGUGCGGCGGCUGAGGGCGGCCGGCCGGCGGGGGCUGGUGCACGCCCUCGUCGCCGACGACGUCCACGGGGACAACCUCCGGCUGCUGCGGCGCCAGCGCCGCAGGAUGGACAGGGUGGGCGUGCGGCAGCCGACGGUGGAGGUGCGGUGGCGGGGCGUGCGCGUGGAGGCCGAGUGCCAGCUCGUCCGCGGCAAGCCGCUCCCCACGCUCCUCAACUCCGCCGUCUCCGGCCUCUCCCUGCUCACCACCAUGCUGGGGCUCAACCGUGGCCGAGAAAGGAUCUGCAUCCUCAAAGAUGUCACCGGCAUCCUAAAGCCUUCCAGGAUGACCCUGCUCCUUGGACCCCCGGGCUGUGGCAAAACCACCCUUCUGCAGGCACUUGCUGGAAAGCUCAACAAAAAUCUCAAGGUAACAGGGGAAAUUGAAUACAAUGGUGUCAAGCUGCAAGAUUUCGUUCCAGAGAAGACGGCAGCUUACGUUGGCCAGUAUGAUCUUCAUGUCCCUGAGAUGACCGUCAGGGAGACGCUCGACUUCUCCGCGAGAUUUCAGGGCGUUGGCAGCAGAGCAGAAAUCAUGAAGGAGGUCAUUAGAAGGGAGAAGGAGGCCGGGAUCACACCUGACCCCGACAUAGAUACUUACAUGAAGGCACUAUCUGUGGAAGGUUUGGAAAGAAGCAUCCAAACAGACUACAUUAUGAAGAUAAUGGGACUUGACACAUGCGCUGAUGUACUAGUCGGAGAUGCCAUGAGAAGAGGUAUUUCUGGCGGUGAGAAGAAAAGACUAACCACAGGAGAGAUGAUAGUAGGACCAUCGAAAGUGCUCUUCAUGGAUGAAAUAUCAACCGGGCUGGACAGCUCCACCACCUUCCAAGUUGUUUCUUGUCUCCAACAGCUAGCUCAUAUAUCAGAGUUUACCAUACUCGUCUCACUCCUUCAACCAACACCAGAGACCUACGAACUUUUUGACGAUAUUAUCUUGAUGGCUGAAGGACAAAUUGUAUACCAUGGCCCUAAGAGCUGCAUCAUGAGUUUCUUUGAAUCAUGUGGCUUCAAGUGCCCAGAAAGAAAAGGAAGUGCUGACUUCCUUCAAGAGGUCUUGUCAAAAAAGGAUCAACAACAAUACUGGAGCUGCACCAAAGAAAGAUAUAAUUUUGUUACAGUUGACCAAUUCUGUGAUAAGUUCAAAGCAUCUCAAACUGGUCAGAAUCUUGCUGAGGAGCUUUCAAAGCCGUAUGCUGAAUCAAAAGGGCAUAAGAAUGCCCUGUUCUUCAGUAUCUACUCAUUAUCCAAGUGGGAUCUCCUCAAGGCAUGUUUUGCACGUGAGCUUCUUCUUAUGAAAAGGAAUGCCUUCAUCCACAUAACAAAAGCCGCUCAGCUUGGACUAUUUGGUCUUAUUACUGGGACAGUAUUUCUGCGGACACGUAUGGGUGUUGACAGAAUUCAUGCCAACUAUUAUAUGGGUUCCCUCUUCUAUGCACUCCUGCUGCUGAUAGUGAAUGGAUUCCCUGACAUGGCCAUGACAAUCGAAAGACUGCCUGUCUUCUACAAACAUAGAGACAACUACUUCUAUCCUGCAUGGGCUUAUGCAAUACCAUCUUUUAUCCUAAAGAUUCCAUUCUCUUUAGUUGGGUCGGUAGCUUUGACAUCGAUAUCCUACUACUUGAUUGGCCAUACCCCAGAAGCAUCCAGGUUCUUCUGUCAGCUCCUCAUCCUCUUCCUGAUGCACACAGUAAUAUUAUCAAUGUUUCGUUGUGUCGCCUCAUACUGUCAAACAAUGGUGGCUGGUUCUGUCGGUGGUACUCUGGCAUUUCUAUUCACCCUUCUAUUUGGGGGUUUCUUAAUUCCUCGCUCAUUUCUGCCUAAUUGGCUAAAAUGGGUAUUUUGGGUAUCUCCAUUGUCUUACGCGGAGAUAGGCUUGACUGGAAAUGAGUUUUUGGCACCAAGAUGGUCAGAGAUCACAAUAUCCGGCGUAGCACUUGGAAGGAGGAUACUAAUGGAUCAAGGUCUAGACUUCCCCAGCUACUUCUACUGGAUCUCAAUUGGAGCAUUGCUUGGGUUUACUUUGUUGUUCAAUGUAGGCUUUGCCAUCUUCUUGACCAUUAAAAACCCAUCUUCUCGUGCUAUUAUCGCUUGCAAUAAUAUUACCGCAGUUGGUGGAAGAAACCAAGAUAAGGAUACGGAAAAUGGGAGGCCUAAGUUACAUGCAGAAACUUCAUGGCUACCCAAUAGCACUGCAGGGAGGAUGGUAUUGCCUUUCACACCCCUUACAAUAUCUUUCCAGGAUGUCAACUACUAUGUAGACACCCCCGCGGAAAUGAGGGAGCAUGGUUACAUGGAAACAAAACUGCAACUACUCCAUAAUAUCACAGGAGCAUUUCAGCCAGGGGUUCUCUCGGCACUCAUGGGGGUUACUGGAGCGGGGAAAACAACACUCCUUGAUGUUCUUGCUGGAAGGAAAACAGGCGGGGUUAUUGAAGGGGACAUAAGAAUAGGGGGUUAUCCUAAAAUUCAGCAAACUUUUGCUAGGAUAUCAGGCUACUGUGAACAGAUUGAUGUUCAUUCCCCACAAAUCACAGUGGGCGAAUCAGUUGCAUAUUCAGCCUGGUUGCGCCUUCCACCAGAAACUGAUUCAAAAGCAAGAGAUGAAUUUGUUAAUGAAGUUCUUGAAACAAUUGAGUUGGAUGAAAUUAGAGAUUCUUUGGUUGGAAUACCAGGGGUAAAUGGACUGUCGACGGAGCAACGGAAACGACUCACUAUAGCAGUCGAGCUUGUGUCUAACCCUUCAAUCAUAUUCAUGGAUGAGCCAACAUCAGGCUUGGAUGCAAGGGCAGCUGCUAUUGUCAUGCGUGCAGUCAAGAACGUUGCAGACACAGGUCGAACAGUCGUGUGCACCAUUCACCAACCAAGUAUCGAUAUAUUUGAGGCAUUUGAUGAGUUGAUGCUCAUGAGAAGAGGUGGAGAGUUGAUCUAUGCUGGGCCAGUUGGACAUCAUUCUUGUGAGGUCAUCCAAUAUUUCCAGGCAAUACCUGCGAUACCUAGGAUCAAGGACAACUAUAACCCAUCAACAUGGAUGCUAGAAGUUACUUCUACAUCUAUGCAAGCUCAAGUGGGAGCAGAUUUUGCACAAAUGUACAGGGCAUCGUCAAUGUGCAAGGACAAGGACAUGCUGGUAAAGCGCUUGAGCGUACCAGUUCCAGGCAUGAGUGACCUCCAUUUCCCAACACAGUUUCCGCAGAAGUUUCGGGAGCAAUUCAAAGCUUGUCUCUGGAAGCAGUGUCUGUCGUAUUGGAGAACCCCUUCCUACAACCUGGUGCGCUUGGCGUCCAUGUUAGGUUUCUGCAUUUUCUUCGGCACAUUGUUCUGGCAGCGAGGCAACAUCAACCACAUAAACGACCAGCGAGGCCUAUUCACCAUAUUGGGGUGCAUGUUUGGGAUCACUCUGUUCACCGGCACCAACAUUUGCCAGGCAGUGAUGCCAUUCGUCUCCAUCGAGCGAUCCGUCGUGUACAGGGAGCGGUUUGCAGGGAUGUACUCUCCUUGGGCCUACUCUUUUGCGCAGGUUGCCAUGGAGAUACCUUAUGUCCUGGUGCAGGUAGUGAUGUUCAUGCUGAUAGCAUAUCCGAUGAUAGGGUAUGCAUGGACAGCAGCGAAAUUCUUCUGGUUCAUGUGCACCAUGUCAUGUACGCUGCUCUACUUCGUCUACCUGGGAAUGAUGAUUGUGUCCCUCACCCCUAACAUCCAACUUGCUUUCGUACUUACAUCUGUGUGCCACGGCCUACAGAACCUCAUCUCCGGCUUUCUUGUGCCUUCACCGCAAAUACCGAGAUGGUGGAUAUGGCUCUACUACAUCUCCCCAAUGUCGUGGUCGCUCAAUGUCUUCUUCACCACACAGUUCGGGGAUUACAACGACAGGAUGAUAGUCGUGUUUGGAGAGAUCAAAUCCGUCGCAACGUUCGUGAAGGACUACUAUGGUUUUCGACGCGACCUGCUGCCGCUGGCAGCCAUGGUUUUGGCGGCGUUCCCCGUAGUUUUUGCUGUCCUCUUCGGUUACAGCAUCUCAAAGCUCAAUUUCCAACGCCGAUAA
rnacentral:rRNA from 1 species